rnacentral:rRNA from 1 species
GAUGAACGCUGGCGGCGUGCCUAAUACAUGCAAGUCGAGCGAACAGACGAGGAGCUUGCUCCUCUGACGUUAGCGGCGGACGGGUGAGUAACACGUGGAUAACCUACCUAUAAGACUGGGAUAACUUCGGGAAACCGGAGCUAAUACCGGAUAAUAUAUUGAACCGCAUGGUUCAAUAGUGAAAGACGGUUUUGCUGUCACUUAUAGAUGGAUCCGCGCUGCAUUAGCUAGUUGGUAAGGUAACGGCUUACCAAGGCGACGAUGCGUAGCCGACCUGAGAGGGGGAUCGGCCACACUGGAACUGAGACACGGUCCAGACUCCUACGGGAGGCAGCAGUAGGGAAUCUUCCGCAAUGGGCGAAAGCCUGACGGAGCAACGCCGCGUGAGUGAUGAAGGUCUUCGGAUCGUAAAACUCUGUUAUUAGGGAAGAACAAAUGUGUAAGUAACUAUGCACGUCUUGACGGUACCUAAUCAGAAAGCCACGGCUAACUACGUG